rnacentral:lncRNA from 1 species
CUCUCUCUCUCUCUAUAUAUAUAUAUAUAUAUAUAUAUAUAUAUAUACAUAUACACAUGUGGAUAUAUGUAUACAUGUGUAUAUAAACAUGUAUAGGCUAGGGCUACUAUACUCUUAUGAGUAUAGAGCCCUUCAUAUUCAUAAGUUGUUUUCAAUGAUGGAGCUUCCGAAUUGACGAUCCACUCCGUUAAAUAUGAUCUAGAAUAUUUGAAACUUGUAGAAAAUAAAUUUCGUAAUUUUUCGAAAUCAUAAUAAAGUUCAUCAAGCGGUUAUAAAAUGAACGGUCAAAAUCGAACGAUGUCUUAAAAAUAGAUGAUAGGAUCUUUUAAUUUAAGAUCGGAGUUAUUGAUCUUUAUCUACGUAGUGAAUAGAAUUUUCUAUCAAAAAUUCAACCGAUUUCGAUUCUUUUACACCGUUAAACUAGUAAAUAUCCCAUACCCGCCGUUAAAAAUUGUCAAUUUUGUGACGUUUUGAUCGUAAGGUAAAGGAUGUCGAAAAAUUAUAAAUUUGAUUUCUAGACAUUUUAAAUGCUCUACAUAAUAUUUAACGGUGUUGAUCGUCGAUUCGGAAGCUCUAUCAUCGAAAACAACUUAUGAGUACGAGUGCGUGCGAUCGAACUGAUAAGAGUAUAGUAGCCGAGCUCUCUCUCUCUCUCUCUCUCUCUCUCUCUCUCUCUCUCUCUCUCUCUCUAUAUAUAUAUAUAUAUAUAUAAU